rnacentral:rRNA from 1 species
UACGUAGGGUGCAAGCGUUAUCCGGAAUUAUUGGGCGUAAAGAGCUCGUAGGCGGUCUGUCGCGUCGGCUGUGAAAACCUGGGGCUUAACUCCGGGCUUGCAGCCGAUACGGGCAGACUAGAGUGCGGUAGGGGAGAUUGGAAUUCCUGGUGUAGCGGUGGAAUGCGCAGAUAUCAGGAGGAACACCAAUGGCGAAGGCAGAUCUCUGGGCCGUAACUGACGCUGAGGAGCGAAAGCAUGGGGAGCGAACAGG